UGGAAGACCAAGCCCAGCUAAACCAGUGGGGACUUGAGCACUAACAUUUGGAGUGGGAUUUGACCUUGUAGAGUUAGUUUGGGUACCGCCAGUGCUAGCAGGGGACCAUGGGUUUGGAAGUGGAUUUGUAUUUGGAGAAGGAGAUCCAUUAGUCAUAUCAGAAGUAGUAGAUAAAUUGGAUGUUGCAUUAUUGGUCACGUCCCCACCCGUCCCCAAAAGUGCAGCGAAAGGGUUCGAG
rnacentral:misc_RNA from 1 species